UACGAAGGGGGCUAGCGUUGCUCGGAAUCACUGGGCGUAAAGGGUGCGUAGGCGGGUCUUUAAGUCAGGGGGGAAAUCCUGGAGCUCAACUCCAGAACUGCCUUUGAUACUGAGGAUCUUGAGUUCGGGAGAGGUGAGUGGAACUGCGAGUGUAGAGGUGAAAUUCGUAGAUAUUCGCAAGAACACCAGUGGCGAAGGCGGCUCACUGGCCCGAUACUGACGCUGAGGCACGAAAGCGUGGGGAGCGAACGGG
rnacentral:rRNA from 1 species